rnacentral:rRNA from 1 species
UACGUAGGGUGCAAGCGUUGUCCGGAAUUAUUGGGCGUAAAGAGCUCGUAGGCGGCUUGUUGCGUCGUCCGUGAAAACCCGUGGCUCAACUGCGGGCUUGCGGACGAUACGGGCAGGCUGGAGUUCGGUAGGGGAGACUGGAAUUCCUGGUGUAGCGGUGGAAUGCGCAGAUAUCAGGAGGAACACCGGUGGCGAAGGCGGGUCUCUGGGCAGUAACUGACGCUGAGGAGCGAAAGCGUGGGGAGCGAACAGG